GAUGAACGCUAGCUACAGGCUUAACACAUGCAAGUCGUGGGGCAGCAUGGGAGAUGCUUGCAUUUCCUGAUGGCGACCGGCGCACGGUAGAGUAACGCGUAUCCAACCUGCCCUUUACUCCGGCACAGCCCGUCGAAAGGCGGAUUAAUGCGGGAUGCAGUCAGAGAGAUGCAUAUAUGUCUGACGAAAGGAAUUGUCCGGUAAGGGAUGGGGAUGCGUCCGAUUAGCUUGACGGCGGGGUAACGGCCCACCGUGGCUACGAUGUCUAGGGGAACUGAGAGGUUGGUCCCCCACACUGGAACUGAGACACGGUCCAGACUCCUACGGGAGGCAGCAGUGAGGAAUAUUGGACAAUGGGCGGAAGCCUGAUCCAGCCAUGCCGCGUGAAGGAUUACGGUCCUAUGGAUUUUAAACUUCUUUUGCACGGGAGCAAUAAGGGUCACGGGUGGCCCGAUGAGAGUACCGUGCGAAUAAGCAUCGGCUAACUCCGUGCCAGCAGCCGCGGUAAUACGGAGGAUGCGAGCGUUAUCCGGAUUCAUUGGGUUUAAAGGGUGCGUAGGCGGUGGCGUAAGUCAGCGGUGAAAUUCACGGGCUCAACCCGUGCCGUGCCGUUGAUACUGCGUUGCUGGAGUACUGUCGCCGUGGGAGGAAUGUGUGGUGUAGCGGUGAAAUGCAUAGAUAUCACACAGAACACCGAUUGCGAAGGCAUCUCACGAGGCAGGGACCGACGCUGAUGCACGAAAGUGCGGGGAUCAAACAGGAUUAGAUACCCUGGUAGUCCGCACAGUAAACGAUGAUGACUAGCUGUCGGCGAUAGACAGUCGGUGGCUAAGCGAAAGCGAUAAGUCAUCCACCUGGGGAGUACGACCGCAAGGUUGAAACUCAAAGGAAUUGACGGGGGCCCGCACAAGCGGAGGAACAUGUGGUUUAAUUCGAUGAUACGCGAGGAACCUUACCCGGGCUCGAACGGUGCAGGAAGCCUUCAGAGAUGGAGGCGCUCUUCGGAGCCUGUAUCGAGGUGCUGCAUGGUUGUCGUCAGCUCGUGCCGUGAGGUGUCGGCUUAAGUGCCAUAACGAGCGCAACCCUUGCUGACAGUUGCCAUCAGGUAAAGCUGGGGACUCUGUCGGGACUGCCACCGUAAGGUGUGAGGAAGGGGGGGAUGACGUCAAAUCAGCACGGCCCUUAUGUCCGGGGCUACACACGUGUUACAAUGGGGGGUACAGAGGGCUGCCAGCCGGCGACGGCGCGCGAAUCCCGAAAUCCCCUCCCAGUUCGGACUGGAGCCUGCAACCCGGCUCCACGAAGCUGGAUUCGCUAGUAAUCGCGCAUCAGCCAUGGCGCGGUGAAUACGUUCCCGGGCCCUCCCACACCUCCCGUCAAGCCAUGAAAACCGGGGGUGCCAAAAGCCGUGACCGCGAGGGUCGGCCUAGGGUAAGACCGGUGAUGGGG
rnacentral:rRNA from 1 species